rnacentral:rRNA from 1 species
CCUACGAGUGGCAGCAGUGAGGAAUAUUGGUCAAUGGGCGCGAGCCUGAACCAGCCAAGUAGCGUGAAGGAUGACUGCCCUACGGGUUGUAAACUUCUUUUAUAAAGGAAUAAAGUGAGGCACGUGUGCCUUUUUGUAUGUACUUUAUGAAUAAGGAUCGGCUAACUCCGUGCCCGCCGCCGCGGUAAUACGGAGGAUCCGAGCGUUAUUCGGAUUUAUUGGGUUUAAAAGGAGCGGAGAUGGGUUGUUAAGUCCGUUGUGAAAGUGUGCGGGUCAACCGUAAAAUUGCAAUUGAUACUGGCAGUCUUGAGUGCAGUUGAGGUAGGCGGAAUGCGUGGUGUAGCGGUGAAAUGCUUAGAUAUCACGAAGAACGCCGAUUGCGAAGGCAGCAUACUAA